rnacentral:rRNA from 1 species
GACGUAGGGCGCGAGCGUUGUCCGGAUUUAUUGGGCGUAAAGAGCUCGUAGGCGGCUUGUCGCGUCGAAUGUGAAAACUCGGGGCUCAACUCCGAGCUUGCAUUCGAUACGGGCAGGCUAGAGUUCGGGUAGGGGGAGACUGGAAUUCCUGGUGUAGCGGUGAAAUGCGCAGAUAUCAGGAGGAACACCGGUGGCGAAGGCGGUUCUCUGGGCAUUACCUGACGCUGAGGAGCGAAAGUGUGGGGAGCAAACAGG